rnacentral:lncRNA from 1 species
GAAUUUAACUCACGUUGUUGUUUCUCUAGUUUCUCAUUCAUGUUGCCAAUAACUAGUUGAAUCCUCUCAAAUUGUUGUUGCAUUGCUUUGAGGAUGAAUUCUUGAUCUUUUGAUGUUGCAUUUCACUCCCUUGUGGCUCCAUCUUCAAAUCUGAAAUUUUAAUGACAAACAAAAUAUAUUGCAACCUCACAAAUGACUCCCUCACGUGUUUACUCUCGUAGUAUGGGCACUCGUGUUUCACUCAAAUUUGGCUUUUACCCUCUUUUGAGCUCACACUCUCUUGCUUUUUAACACUCAAGCAAU